GACGAACGCUGGCGGCGUGCUUAACACAUGCAAGUCGAACGGAAAGGCCCUGCUUUUGUGGGGUGCUCGAGUGGCGAACGGGUGAGUAACACGUGAGUAACCUGCCCUUGACUUUGGGAUAACUUCAGGAAACUGGGGCUAAUACCGGAUAGGAGCUCCUGCUGCAUGGUGGGGGUUGGAAAGUUUCGGCGGUUGGGGAUGGACUCGCGGCUUAUCAGCUUGUUGGUGGGGUAGUGGCUUACCAAGGCUUUGACGGGUAGCCGGCCUGAGAGGGUGACCGGCCACAUUGGGACUGAGAUACGGCCCAGACUCCUACGGGAGGCAGCAGUGGGGAAUAUUGAACAAUGGGCGGAAGCCUGAUGCAGCAACGCCGCGUGCGGGAUGACGGCCCUCGGGUUGUAAACCGCUUUCGCCUGUGACGAAGCGUGAGUGACGGUAAUGGGUAAAGAAGCACCGGCUAACUACGUG
rnacentral:rRNA from 1 species